rnacentral:rRNA from 1 species
UCAAUAACGUAAUAUUAAAGUUGUUGCGGUUAAUAAGCUCGUAGUUGGAUUUCUGCGUGAGGACGACCGGUCCGCCCUCUGGGUGAGUAUCUGGCUUGGCCUUGGCAUCUUCUUGGAGAACGUAGCUGCACUUGACUGUGUGGUGAGGUAUCCAGGACUCUUACUUUGAGGAGAUUAGAGUAGUUGGAGCAGGCGCACGCCUUGAAUACAUUAGCAUGGAAUAAUAAGACAGGACCUUGGUUCUAUUUUGUUGGUUUCCCAAGCUGAGGUAAUGAUUAAUAGGGAUAGUUGGGGGCAUUCGUAUUUAACUGUCAAUGGUGGAAUUCUUUGAUUUGUUAGAACGGACUACUGCGAAAGCAUUUGCCAAGGAUGUUUUCUUUGAUUUAAAACAAAAAUAAUAAGAUCAAAAAAAAAAAAAAAACCGCCUAGUCUUACCCUUAACUUGCCACUAAAAUUGGAGGAGGAAGUUGAGGAACCCACCCCCCCCACCCCUUAAGAAAAAAAAAAAAUUGGUUUCCCCGGGAAAGGGGGACAAGGGGGUGAAACUUAAAGGAUUGAAGGAAGGGGCCCCCCCCGGCGGGGUUGCGCCUUUUUUUUUCCCCCCGGGGAGCUCCCCGGCCCCAAAAAAAAGGUGGAAAAUUAAAGCCUUUUUAGGAUUUUAGGGGGGGGGGGCAGACCCUUUUUG